AGUGAACGCUGGCGGUAGGCCUAACACAUGCAAGUCGAACGGCAGCACAGUAAGAGCUUGCUCUUACGGGUGGCGAGUGGCGGACGGGUGAGGAAUACAUCGGAAUCUACUUUUUCGUGGGGGAUAACGUAGGGAAACUUACGCUAAUACCGCAUACGACCUACGGGUGAAAGCAGGUGAUCUUCGGACCUUGCGCGAUUGAAUGAGCCGAUGUCGGAUUAGCUAGUUGGCGGGGUAAAGGCCCACCAAGGCGACGAUCCGUAGCUGGUCUGAGAGGAUGAUCAGCCACACUGGAACUGAGACACGGUCCAGACUCCUACGGGAGGCAGCAGUGGGGAAUAUUGGACAAUGGGCGCAAGCCUGAUCCAGCCAUACCGCGUGGGUGGAGAAGGCCUUCGGGUUGUAAAGCCCUUUUGUUGGGAAAGAAAAGCAGCAGGUUAAUACCCCGCUGUUCUGACGGUACCCAAAGAAUAAGCACCGGCUAACUUCGUG
rnacentral:rRNA from 1 species